rnacentral:tRNA from 1 species
GAUUACGGGAAGCGGGACUGUUAAUCCGUAGAUCGAGUGUUCGAGUCGCUCACGCCUCGCCA